UGGGGAAUAUUGGACAAUGGGCGAAAGCCUGAUCCAGCCAUGCCGCGUGUGUGAAGAAGGUCUUCGGAUUGUAAAGCAUUUUAAGUUGGGAGGAAGGGCAUUAACCUAAUACGUUAGUGUUUUGACGUUACCGACAGAAUAAGCACCGGCUAACUCUGUGCCAGCAGCCGCGGUAAUACAGAGGGUGCAAGCGUUAAUCGGAAUUACUGGGCGUAAAGCGCGCGUAGGUGGUUUGUUAAGUUGGAUGUGAAAUCCCCGGGCUCAACCUGGGAACUGCAUUCAAAACUGACUGACUAGAGUAUGGUAGAGGGUGGUGGAAUUUCCUGUGUAGCGGUGAAAUGCGUAGAUAUAGGAAGGAACACCAGUGGCGAAGGCGACCACCUGGACUAAUACUGACACUGAGGUGCGAAAGCGUGGGGAGCAAACA
rnacentral:rRNA from 1 species